UGAACGCUAGCGGCAGGCCUAAUACAUGCAAGUCGAACGAUACUUUCCGAGCUUGCUGGGAAGGAAAGUGGCGCACGGGUGCGUAACGCGUAUGCAACCUACCUUAAUCAGGGGGGAUAGCCCGAAGAAAUUCGGAUUAACACCGCAUAAAAUCACAGUAUAGCAUUAUACAAUGAUCAAAUAUUUAUAGGAUUAAGAUGGGCAUGCGUGACAUUAGUUAGUUGGCGGGGUAACGGCCCACCAAGACCACGAUGUCUAGGGGAUCUGAGAGGAUGACCCCCCACACUGGUACUGAGACACGGACCAGACUCCUACGGGAGGCAGCAGUGGGGAAUAUUGGACAAUGGGCGCAAGCCUGAUCCAGCCAUGCCGCGUGUGUGAUGAAGGCCUUAGGGUUGUAAAGCACUUUCACCGGAGAAGAUAAUGACGGUAUCCGGAGAAGAAGCCCCGGCUAACUUCGUGCCAGCAGCCGCGGUAAUCU
rnacentral:rRNA from 1 species